rnacentral:rRNA from 1 species
UAGGGAAUCUUCCACAAUGGACGCAAGUCUGAUGGAGCAACGCCGCGUGAGUGAAGAAGGUUUUCGGAUCGUAAAGCUCUGUUGUUGGUGAAGAAGGAUAGAGGUAGUAACUGGCCUUUAUUUGACGGUAAUCAACCAGAAAGUCACGGCUAACUACGUGCCAGCAGCCGCGGUAAUACGUAGGUGGCAAGCGUUGUCCGGAUUUAUUGGGCGUAAAGCGAGCGCAGGCGGAAGAAUAAGUCUGAUGUGAAAGCCCUCGGCUUAACCGAGGAACUGCAUCGGAAACUGUUUUUCUUGAGUGCAGAAGAGGAGAGUGGAAUUCCAUGUGUAGCGGUGGAAUGCGUAGAUAUAUGGAAGAACACCAGUGGCGAAGGCGACUCUCUGGUCUGCAACUGACGCUGAGGCUCGAAAGAAUGGGUAGCGAACAGG